AGAAUCAACGCUGGCGGCGUGCCUAACACAUGCAAGUCGAACGAGAAAGUGGAGCAAUCCAUGAGUAAAGUGGCGCACGGGUGAGUAACACGUGACUAACCUACCCUUGAGUGGGGGAUAACCUAGAGAAAUCUGGGCUAAUACCGCAUAAUACCUUCGGGUCAAAGGAGCAAUUCGCUUAAGGAGGGGGUCGCGGCCGACUAGUUAGUUGGCGGGGUAAUGGCCCACCAAGACUAUGAUCGGUA
rnacentral:rRNA from 1 species